CCCUCACCGUUGUGCGACAUGCCGAGCGCCAGGCACUUCUGGAAGCGGCAGUACUGACACUUGUUGCGGUUCUUCUUCUGGAUCUUGCAGAUCCGAUCGCACUUCUCAUACUCGAGCUUCAUGCGGAUUGUCCGGCGGAAGAAGCCCUGCGGGACCAAGGACGUUAGGAGCCUGCGAUGCCCCAGGGCCCAGAGGCAAGUACCCCUGGAGUGGCCUAUCCAGCUGAAACCAGCGGCAAGCCACGCCCACUCCUGACUUUGAGGCUCUGAGGGCCAAUCCAGGAUCAUCAGGAUGCCCUGGCCCAAGGCACCCAGAGGAGGCGAGUGAGGCUGGGGAGGGAGAGCGAGGGGCCUGAGGGGUCCUGUGUACAGGCUGGACACAGUGUCGUGAGGAUGAGAUGACAGGGCCAUGCUGGCCACCAGAGAAGAAUGUCACCAUUGCCACCAACAGAGGGUCAAUGAAGUGACCCAGCAAGUGGAAAGAGCCAGCUGAACCCUGAUGCUCCAAAUCGGCCCAAGUCACAGGCACUCAAAGCACCAGGCAUUCCCACUCAGUACCCGGUCUCAUGACAACUGCAGGUACAUCCCACAGUUCCUGGUGCAGCCAGGAGUACGGGUGCAUCCCAGUGCUGGUGCCUGGAUACACAAGGCUCUGGGUCCACGCCCACUACCAAAGCCCGUUAGCAGAUGCUGCCUGGGCAGGUGUACAUGUGGGUUCAGAGGCAUCUGAUGGGUAGGGGUGGGAUAAAGGACAAACACCCUCCUGCCUCCCGUAAAAGCCCACGUCCAGCUCAUCUACAUUACUGUACGUGAUUUCCCAGGGCCCCGCGGCUCACCACAGGACCCCUGGCUCUGGUAUCAGUCAGUCACUCUACUCCUUGGCCCCCCAUGUUGUUCACAGAACCCGCUCCUCGGGCCCCCCCCACCCCCCGUACCUGCACAGCUGCUGGAAGGAAUCGUGGGCUCUGGUCCCCCAUCGAGCUCCGGGGCUCCGUCACCCGUGGCCACUUCCUCUUUCUCCUCUUCCCGGGCCUCAGGGAUCUCCUCCUGUGGCUGUUCCAUGACUGACCCCCACUUGGCGUGGCGCCUGCAGGCCUGGUCAUAGCUCUGCCACCAUCUGGGUCUGAGCGCAGAUGGACUGCCUGGGCAGGGAGAGACAGAGACGGUCAGGUUGCUUUUGGUCACCGUGUUUCAUCUCAGCAAUAGUAACCGGAUGCUACCCCAAUGUUCAUCAAAUAAAAAACCGUCCAUAAA